UACAUGUGGGGCAAGCGUUGUUCGGAAUUACUGGGCAUAAAGGGUGCGUAGGCGGCUUGUUAAGUCACUGGUGAAAGUUUGCGGCCCAACCGUAAAAUUGCCUGUGAUACUGGCGAGCUUGAGUGCGUGAGGGGUAAGGGGAACGAGCAGUGUAGCGGUGAAAUGCGUAGAUAUCUGGAGGAACACCGGUGGCGAAGGCGACAUCCUGGACCGGUAUUGACGCUGAUGCGCGAAAGCCAGGGGAGCAAACGGGG
rnacentral:rRNA from 1 species